UACGUAGGGGGCAAGCGUUGUCCGGAAUCAUUGGGCGUAAAGCGCGUGUAGGCGGCUAGGUAAGUCUGCUCUGAAAGCCCGGGGCUCAACCCCGGGAGGCGGGUGGAUACUGUCUAGCUCGAGUCCGGAAGAGGAGUGUGGAAUUCCUGGUGUAGCGGUGAAAUGCGCAGAUAUCAGGAGGAACACCAAUGGCGAAGGCAGCUCUCUGGGACGGUACUGACGCUGAGACGCGAAAGCGUGGGGAGCGAACAGG
rnacentral:rRNA from 1 species